GCGAUCGACGUUGCUGUUUUUCUUCGCGGGAAAGGCGAGUCGACCAUCAGCACAUGUGGAAAAAACGUCUGCGUAUGGCAAAACCACUUUGCUCCUUAAUUACGGGGCAUCCCUCACUCAGAAAGGAUUAGAACUAGGACCCACCCUUCUCUGGUGUUACUUAACUGAUAACUCUCUUCAAAGAGUGGGAGAAACAAGUGGCAGUCGGCUUCCAGUAAAGAUUUACAGCCUUGAGAAUGAAGAAAACCAAAGACACAAGGGGAAGAUUAGUCCAAAGGCCUAAUGGACCAUGAGUACCACAGCCUGAGUCUAGCACAACUAGAUGGUGUCCAGCUGCCACCACCGACUGCUCUGACAGGGAUCACCAUAGAGGGUCCCAGACAGAGCCAGAGAAAAAUGUAGAACAAAAUUCCAACUCACACACAUUCACAAAAGACCAAGCUUACUGGUCUGACACAGACUGGAAAAACACUAGGGCAAGGGCUAGAAGGCAGGAGAGGACAGGAAAGCUGGUAAUGGGGAACCCCGGGUCGAGAAGGGGAGAGUGUUGUCAUGGGGUUGGCAACCAAUGUACAAAACAACACGCGUAUUAAUUUUUUUUAAAUGAGAAGCUACUUUGCUCUGUAAACCUUCAUCUAAAGUACAAUUAAAAAAAAAAAAAACAACAACAGAAA